rnacentral:rRNA from 1 species
AGAGUUUGAUCCUGGCUCAGAAUCAACGCUGGCGGCGUGCCUCAGACGUGCAAGUCGAACGUGAAAGUUCCUUCGGGAAUGAGUAAAGUGGCGCACGGGUGAGUAACACGUGAGUAAUCUGCCUUUGGGUGGGGAAUACCAGUCGGAAACGACUGUUAAUACCGCAUAACGCAGCGGCAUCAUAAGAUGACAGUUGUUAAAGCGGGGGCUUCGCAAGAACCUCGCGCCUGAAGAGGAGCUCGCGGCAGAUUANGUAGUUGGUGAGGUAAUGGCUCACCAAGCCUGCGAUCUGUAACCGGCCUGAGAGGGCGGUCGGUCACACUGACACUGACAUACGGGUCAGACUCCUACGGGAGGCAGCAGUCGGGAAUUUUGGGCAAUGGGCGAAAGCCUGACCCAGCAACGCCGCGUGAAGGAUGAAGCAUGUCGGUGUGUAAACUUCGCAAGAAUAGGAAGAAUAAGUUUGGAUAAAUAAUUCAAGCGAUGACGGUACUAUCCGUAAGCUCCGGCUAACUCCGUGCCAGCAGCCGCGGUAAUACGGGGGGGAGCAAGCGUUGUUCGGAUCUACUGGGCGUAAAGGGUGCGUAGGCGGCACCACAAGUCACUUGUGAAAUCUGUGUGCUUAAACCAAAGCGGUCACGUGAUACUGUGGAGCUAAAGUGCAGAAGGGGCAACUGAAAUUUCCGGUGUANCGGGUGAAAUGCGUAAAAUUUUCAAGGAGGGAGAACCCUGGGGGNUAAAGGGCGGGGUUUUGCUUGGGACGUGAAACCUUGAACCCCCCUGAAUGGCACUAAAAAGACCUAGGGGGAUCNA